CCCCAGGCGACGACUCUGCCGCAUCCCGGGUCGAGGAAGACGACGCCGCGNCCCUCCCCGCUCCGGCUCCCGCCCCUCCCCCGCGGGGAGGCGGNGCGGGGGCCCCGGCCGGGGGAACGGGGCCCCCCGCCCCCGGCGCGACUGUCAACCGGGGCGGACUGCCCUCAGUGCGCCCCGACGCGUCGCGCGCCGGGCGGGGACGCCACGCCGGGANNCGCCCGGGGUCCGCGGCGAUGUCGGCCACCCACCCGACCCGUCUUGAAACACGGACCAAGGAGUCUACGACGCGCGCGAUGCGGAGGCUCGAACGAAAGCCCGCGGCGCAAUGAAGGUGAGCCGCGCGCGCGCGGCUGAGGUGGGAUCCCGAGGCGCCGAGCGGAGGGCGCACCACCGGCCCGUCUCGCCCGCCCGUCGGGGAGUGGGACCGCCCGUCUCGCCAGCCCGUCGGGGAGGUGGAGCUGAGCGAGAGUGCUAAGAACCCGAAAGAUGGUGAACUAUGCCUGGGCAGGCGAAGAAAGAGGAAACUCUGGUGGAGGUCCGGUAGCGGUCCUGACGUGCAAAUCGGUCGUCCGACCUGGGUAUAGGGGCGAAAGACUAAUCGAACCAUCUAGUAGCUGGUUCCCUCCGAAGUUUCCCUCAGGAUAGCUGGCGCUCGUCGCAACCCGAGAAACCCUCGAGCAGUUUUAUCUGGUAAAGCGAAUGAUUAGAGGUCUUGGGGCCGAAACGAUCUCAACCUAUUCUCAAACUUUAAAUGGGUAAGAAGCCCGGCUCGCUGGCGUGGAGCCGGGGCGUGGAAUGCGAGACGCCUAGUGGGCCGCUUUUGGUAAGCAGAACUGGCGCUGCGGGAUGAACCGAACGCCGGGUUAAGGCGCCCGAUGCCGACGCUCAUCAGACCCCAGGAAAAGGUGUUGGUUGAUAUAGACAGCAGGACGGUGGCCAUGGAAGUUG
rnacentral:rRNA from 1 species